rnacentral:rRNA from 1 species
GGCUCAGAACGAACGCUGGCGGCAGGCCUAACACAUGCAAGUCGAGCGCGCCCUUCGGGGUGAGCGGCGGACGGGUUAGUAACGCGUGGGAACGUACCCUUUGGUAGGGAAUAGCCACUGGAAACGGUGAGUAAUACCCUAUGAGCCCUUCGGGGGAAAGAUUUAUCGCCAAAAGGAUCGGCCCGCGUUAGAUUAGGUAGUUGGUGGGGUAGUGGCCUACCAAGCCUACGAUCUAUAGCUGGUUUUUAGAGGAUGAUCAGCAACACUGGGACUGAGACACGGCCCAGACUCCUACGGGAGGCAGCAGUGGGGAAUCUUGGACAAGUGGGGGCAACCCUGAUCCCAGCCAUGCCGCGUGAGUGAAGAAGGCCUUAGGGUCGUAAAGCUCUUUCGCCUGUGAAGAUAAUGACGGUAGCAGAUAAAGAAACCCCGGCUAACUCCGUGCCAGCCGCAGC